rnacentral:rRNA from 1 species
AGCAGCCGCGGUAAUUCCAGCUCCAAUAGCGUAUAUUAAAGUUGUUGCAGUUAAAAGCUCGUAGUUGAAUUUCGGGGUUCUACGGUCGGUCGGGCUAACGUCUGUACUGGCGUGUAGAAUUCCUACCUUCUGGGGAACCACCAUGUUAUUAAUUUAGCGUGGUGGGAAACCAGGACCUUUACCUUGAAAAAUUAGAGUGUUCAAAGCAGGCUUACGUCUGAAUACAUUAGCAUGGAAUAAUAAAAUAGGACGGUGGUCCUGUUUUGUUGGUUUCUGAAUCACCGUAAUGAUUAAUAGGGAUAGUUGGGGCAUUAGUAUUCAAUUGUCAGAGGUGAAAUUCUUGGAUUUAUCGAAGACUAACUUCUGCGAAAGCAUUUGC